AGGGUGUAAACGCUGCAGACUUGGUGUUGGAAGUCCUUUGGGGGCAUUCAGUGCCGGAGAGAAGUUGUUAAGUCUGCUACUUGGGGAGUACGUCCGCAAGGAUGAAACUUAAAGGAAUUGGCGGGGGAGCACCGCAACGGGAGGAGCGUGCGGUUUAAUUGGAUUCAACACCGUAAAACUCACCAGGGAAGACUGUUACAUGAAAGCCGAGAUGAAGACUCUGCUCGAUUUUCAGAGAGGAGGUGCAUGGCGUCAGUGACU
rnacentral:rRNA from 1 species